CCAUGGAUCUCCAGGUGGGUCAAGGUUAAAAAAUGUACCAACCUGGAAUACUCCAUGUUGU
rnacentral:pre_miRNA from 1 species